AGAGAUCUGGAGGACAUCAGUGCGAAAGGCGGCCACCUGGCCCAAUACUGACGCUGAGGGCACGAAAGCUUGGGGAGCAAACAGGAUUAGAUACCCUGGUAGUCCACGCCCUAACGAUUGAAUACUAGAUGUUUGGUGCCAAGCGUACUGAGUGUCGUAGCUAACGCGAUAAGUAUUCCGCCUGGGAAGUACGGCCGCAAGGUUUAAACUCAAAGGAAUUGACGGGGGCCCGCACGAGCGGUGGAGCAUGUGGUUUAAUUCGAUGCAACGCGAAGAACCUUACCUGGGCUUGACAUGUCUGGAAUCCUGCAGAGAUGCGGGAGUGCCCUUCGGGGAAUCAGAACACAGGUGCUGCAUGGCUGUCGUCAGCUCGUGUCGUGAGAUGUUGGGUUAAGUCCCGCAACGAGCGCAACCCUUGUCCUUAGUUGCCAGCGGUUCGGCCGGGCACUCUAGGGAGACUGCCGGUGACAAACCGGAGGAAGGUGGGGAUGACGUCAAGUCCUCAUGGCCUUUAUGUCCAGGGCUACACACGUGCUACAAUGGCGCGUACAGAGGGAAGCCAAGCCGCGAGGUGGAGCAGACCCCAGAAAGCGCGUCGUAGUUCGGAUUGCAGU
rnacentral:rRNA from 1 species